rnacentral:rRNA from 1 species
UAAGGAAUAUUGGUCAAUGGGCGGAAGCCUGAACCAGCCAUGCCGCGUGCAGGAAGACGGCCCUACGGGUUGUAAACUGCUUUUGUACCAGAAUAAACCUUGAUUCGUGAAUCGAGCUGAAUGUAUGGUAAGAAUAAGGAUCGGCUAACUCCGUGCCAGCAGCCGCGGUAAUACGGAGGAUCCGAGCGUUAUCCGGAUUUAUUGGGUUUAAAGGGUGCGUAGGCGGCUUGUUAAGUCAGGGGUGAAAGACGGUAGCUCAACUAUCGCAGUGCCUUUGAUACUGACGAGCUUGAAUGUACUUGAGGUAGGCGGAAUGUGACAAGUAGCGGUGAAAUGCAUAGAUAUGUCACAGAACACCAAUUGCGAAGGCAGCUUACUAAAGUAUGAUUGACGCUGAGGCACGAAAGCGUGGGGAUCAAACAG